rnacentral:lncRNA from 1 species
UUUAGAAUUGUUUUUGUCGAUUUUAUUUUUUUAAUAUUGAACUGGUUGAGAAUUUGGCUUUGUAGUUUUUUUCUUUAUAACAUUGUGGAUUACUACAAUGUUUCCUCACAUGAUUUUUUUUUAUGAUUUUUUUUGUUUUUUUUCUAGAAUUGUCUUGGUAGAUUUUAUUUUUUUUCAUAUUAAGCUGAUUGAGAAUUUAGCUUCGUAGUUUUUUUCUUUAAAAC